rnacentral:lncRNA from 1 species
AUUGCUAAAAGAUGCGUAAAACCAUACUCACAGACCAGAGAUGAACGUUACGCCCAGCACUGUCAACUGUGACUGCUUGUGUCCCCGUAUCAUUGACCCCGUCUGUGACACCGCCGGCAACUACUACGACAAUGCGUGCCUCUUGAACUGUGUUGAGGGUGCCGUCCAGGCCGCAGAGGGCGCCUACACCUUCAGUGGUAGCACCUGUGUUGCUGCCAGGAAGUAGAUGACCUUCACCUUCAACCACUUGGAACGACUGCGACUAUAGGAGCGCUUAGUGUUACAAUAAAAUUUAGAAUUCUUCCAUCCAG